rnacentral:rRNA from 1 species
GAUGAACGCUGGCGGCGUGCCUAAUACAUGCAAGUCGAGCGAACAGAUAAGGAGCUUGCUCCUUUGACGUUAGCGGCGGACGGGUGAGUAACACGUGGGUAACCUACCUAUAAGACUGGGAUAACUUCGGGAAACCGGAGCUAAUACCGGAUAACAUUUGGAACCGCAUGGUUCUAAAGUGAAAGAUGGUUUUGCUAUCACUUAUAGAUGGACCCGCGCCGUAUUAGCUAGUUGGUAAGGUAACGGCUUACCAAGGCAACGAUACGUAGCCGACCUGAGAGGGUGAUCGGCCACACUGGAACUGAGACACGGUCCAGACUCCUACGGGAGGCAGCAGUAGGGAAUAUUCCGCAAUGGGCGAAAGCCUGACGGAGCAACGCCGCGUGAGUGAUGAAGGGGUUCGGCUCGUAAAACUCUGUUAUUAGGGAAGAACAAACGUGUAAGUAACUGUGCACGUCUUGACGGUACCUAAUCAGAAAGCCACGGCUAACUACGUG